rnacentral:rRNA from 1 species
AGUGAACGCUGGCGGUAGGCCUACACAUGCAAGUCGAACGGCAGCACAGUAAGAGCUUGCUCUUACGGGUGGCGAGUGGCGGACGGGUGAGGAAUACAUCGGAAUCUACUUUUUCGUGGGGGAUAACGUAGGGAAACUUACGCUAAUACCGCAUACGACCUACGGGUGAAAGCAGGGGAUCUUCGGACCUUGCGCGAUUGAAUGAGCCGAUGUCGGAUUAGCUAGUUGGCGGGGUAAAGGCCCACCAAGGCGACGAUCCGUAGCUGGUCUGAGAGGAUGAUCAGCCACACUGGAACUGAGACACGGUCCAGACUCCUACGGGAGGCAGCAGUGGGGAAUAUUGGACAAUGGGCGCAAGCCUGAUCCAGCCAUACUGCGUGGGUGAAGAAGGCCUUCGGGUUGUAAAGCCCUUUUGUUGGGAAAGAAAAGCAGCAGGUUAAUACCCCGCUGUUCUGACGGUACCCAAAGAAUAAGCACCGGCUAACUUCGUG